UUUCCUUUUAAUUGAGUUGAAGAAACUCUGAACACAAAUGCCUUAAUCACUUGUGAAGAGGUAAUGAAAUGUUAAAUGAGAUCCAUCAAGGUUUGACUGGAAGCAGAAAAAAAAAAAAAGAUCUAAAGAAAAAGACCCAUGAAUCUUCUUACUAUUUUGCCAUCAGCAGAAAAUGCCAUGUCAGGAGGCAAACUUGAAGACUCACAUUAAGUGAAUGGAGGACACUUACUGAAGUGUAUUAAUGUAACACCUGUAUCUUAUCAAAGAACCCAAAGAUUAAACCAUCUAACUCUUAAAAGUAUUAAAAACAUGCAAAAUAGAGCCAGCAAUAUAAGGUAGUCCCUUCCAGCUGACUGCAUUUUAUUUGUGAAGUGUAUAAAAUGUUUUCACACUCUGAAAUCAUUUUCAGAUAUUCAACAAUUUCCUGAAAUGGUUAGCAGUUCCUUUAAAGAGGUAAUCACCAGCCCUUGAGCUAUAUGACAUAAAAAUGUGCAUAUACAAGGACUAUUUUCAAAGGGCAGAAUACAAAUAGAUCUGCUUAUGCCCCACACAUCAUCAAACAAUUGCUUUUUCCUAAUACAUGUUCUGCUGGAGAAAGGCACACGAUUCUAGUCCAUUCCAUUAUUUAAUUCCAGAUGACUCACUCCAGUCUCAAAACUUCUGAAAUGAAUCCUUCAUUUAAGGGCAAUUACAUAUAUAUAUUCAUUUAACUUUAGUUACCGUGUGUUGAGCAUUCUGAUUAGAACCAGCAUCUUCCUUUUGAUGCAUGCAGUCACUUUUUUUUUAAUAUGAAGAUAGCAAAAGUCUUUUGAAGUUUCCAGGAAAAAUACAUCUACAUGAACAGAAAAAAAUCCAUCACUUGAUUUUGUUAUUAAAUGAUUUUUCUUUGUGCUUCCA